ACGCACGCUGGCGGCGCGCUUAACACAUGCCAGUCGCGCGAUGAAACUUUAACAGAACCCUUCGGGGCGAAGAUAAAGUGGAUUAGCGGCGGACGGGUGAGUAACACGUGAGUAACCUGCCUUAGACAUUGGGAUAGCCUCGGGAAACCGGGAUUAAUACCAAAUAAAAUCAUAAUGACACAUGUCAUAACGAUCAAAACUCCGGUGGUCUAAGAUGGACUCGCGUCCCAUUAGCUAGUUGGUAGAGUAAAAGCCUACCAAGGCGACGAUGGGUAGCCGGCCUGAGAGGGUGAACGGCCACAUUGGAACUGAGAAACGGUCCAAACUCCUACGGGAAGCAGCAGUGGGGAAUAUUGCACAAUGGAGGGAACUCUGAUGCAGCGACGCCGCGUGAACGAAGAAGGCUUUCGAGUCGUAAAGUUCUUUUAUAUGGGAAGAUAAUGACGGUACCAUAAGAAAAAGCCCCGGCUAACUACGUG
rnacentral:rRNA from 1 species